GCUCAAAGGAGAUAAGUGAAGACGUGCAAAGCCUUGCUAAACAGGACCCAUGGGGGAGAGAUUUGAAGAAGCCAUCAGGGUUUUGACUAGAAGGCAGGGGUCCUCAAAGCUGUGAAAGUCUGAUCUAUCAGAGGUGGCUGCCAAGCUGUGCUUUCUUCUGCAGAUGGCAAAAGAAAAAGAUGUGAAACAAGACAUGUUUAAAUGGAAGAGAGAGGAAUGAGAGAGGAAGGCAAGAAUACAAAUAUUUAAGAAAGCUUUAUUUUCCUGAAGCAAAGAAUGACACUUGAAACCGAGGGAAUCUCAAUGUCCACCUUGCAUUUCCAUGACCAGCAAGAGAGGGGAACCCCUACAGGAAUGUUCAUCCUCUGCCUCUGACCUGGGAAGUCUCAGUCAUCCCCGAGGACCAAUUCCAAAUGUCAAUUCAUUCACCACCAUUGCCCUUGUCAUUGCAUCCACUCCUCCUCUCUCUCUGACUUGUGUUAAUGGUAGGUAACUGUGUAUGAAUCUAGGCUGGGGGUUUGUCUUUGAGGUCAAGGACUAUUUCUGAUUCACUGUGUGUCUCCCUAAAUCCUUCUUCCACCCAGCAAAGAUGCUCAAAAUAUAUAUACAAAUGAUAGCCCUUUGUCCUGUACCUUUUCUGAGCUUUGGAAUGUCUCUCUGUACUGAUAGAGCAUCAUGCAACAGACCCAGCAGAGGAGGAAAUAGCUGUGAGAUUAUCUGCCCAUUAUAGCAGGAUUCAAAGAAAGCUGCUUUCAUGCCAGGAAGCCAGGGGAUCGUAGUAAACGGCUGUCUUUAACCAAAGACAGGGAUCUUCCACUAUUAGGAGGGAUCUUCCACUAUUGAAAGUUGAGACCCUGGGACCCCUGUCUCAUCUAUCUCUGCCAUCAGACCUGCCGCUUCUCACAUAGUUGCAUAUGGACAAGAUGCCUCAUUUUGGUGUGCACUGGGAGAUCUGGCCUAUCCAUGAAACUCUCUCCAUUGGUUGCCUGUUGAAAGGGCUCCCUACCAAUUUGGUCAUAACACAGACCAAAUUGAGGAGGUUAAAAGAGAUCAAGUGUCUGAACAUGGCUUCUUUGGACUCUAGGAGGAGUUGAUCAAGUGUCACUCCAGUGCAUAUACUGUUUUUAUGCACAGUAUGGAUUUGAACAUCCUGGUGAGUGAGUCCAUGUUAACAGUAUGUUCUCAAGCAGGAAUAUGCAGCUCUAGCUUCUGUUUUUAGAAAGCUCAGAGAUUUUUUGCACUGGAAGAGAAUUAGACAUCCAACAUCCUCAUUUCAAAAGGAAACUGAAGUCAGAGAGGAGAAGGGACUUCCCAAUGGUACAUAACCUGCUAUUGGCAAAGGUGGGACCAGAGCCCUUAAGUUUUUCAACUUCUCCAGCAAAUUCCUCAUAUCUAAGAGCAACGCUUCAGUUUUCCUUAAUAAAGUGCCCCAGAUCCUCACAUU
ensembl:lncRNA LINC01698 long intergenic non-protein coding RNA 1698